rnacentral:rRNA from 1 species
UACGUAGGGUGCAAGCGUUGUCCGGAAUUAUUGGGCGUAAAGAGCUACGUAGGCGGUCUGUCGCGUCGGCUGUGAAAAACCCGGAGCUCAACUCCGGGCCUGCAGUCGAUACGGGCAGACUGGAGUUCGGCAGGGGAGACUGGAAUUCCGUGGUGUAGGACGGUUGGAAAUGCGCAGAUAAUCAGGAGGAACACCGGUGGCGAAAGGCGGGUCUCUGGGCCGAAUGACUGACGCUGGAGGAGCGAAAGCGUGGGGAGCGAACAGGA